AUUCUUGUAGCUCAAUGGACAGCGCGUUGGACUUCUAAUCCAAAGGUUGUGGGUUCUAAUGUGCCACCUGGGAUG